GCUUAUGCGUUGUUGGGUAGGGGAGCGUUCUGUAAGCCUGCGAAGGUGGCCUGUGAGGGUUGCUGGAGGUAUCAGAAGUGCGAAUGCUGACAUAAGUAACGAUAAAGCGGGUGAAAAGCCCGCUCGCCGGAAGACCAAGGGUUCCUGUCCAACGUUAAUCGGGGCAGGGUGAGUCGACCCCUAAGGCGAGGCCGAAAGGCGUAGUCGAUGGGAAACGGGUUAAUAUUCCCGUACUUGGUGUUACUGCGAAGGGGGGACGGAGAAGGCUAUGUUGGCCGGGCGACGGUUGUCCCGGUUUAAGCGUGUAGGUGUGUGUUCCAGGUAAAUCCGGUUCACUUUAACACUGAGGCGUGAUGACGAGGCACUACGGUGCUGAAGUAACAAAUGCCCUGCUUCCAGGAAAAGCCUCUAAGCAUCAGGUAACAUCAAAUCGUACCCCAAACCGACACAGGUGGUCAGGUAGAGAAUACCAAGGCGCUUGAGAGAACUCGGGUGAAGGAACUAGGCAAAAUGGUGCCGUAACUUCGGGAGAAGGCACGCUGACACGUAGGUGAAGUGAUUUACUCACGGAGCUGAAGUCAGUCGAAGAUACCAGCUGGCUGCAACUGUUUAUUAAAAACACAGCACUGUGCAAACACGAAAGUGGACGUAUACGGUGUGACGCCUGCCCGGUGCCGGAAGGUUAAUUGAUGGGGUCAGCGCAAGCGAAGCUCCUGAUCGAAGCCCCGGUAAACGGCGGCCGUAACUAUAACGGUCCUAAGGUAGCGAAAUUCCUUGUCGGGUAAGUUCCGACCUGCACGAAUGGCGUAAUGAUGGCCAGGCUGUCUCCACCCGAGACUCAGUGAAAUUGAACUCGCUGUGAAGAUGCAGUGUACCCGCGGCAAGACGGAAAGACCCCGUGAACCUUUACUAUAGCUUGACACUGAACAUUGAGCCUUGAUGUGUAGGAUAGGUGGGAGGCUUUGAAGUGUGGACGCCAGUCUGCAUGGAGCCGACCUUGAAAUACCACCCUUUAAUGUUUGAUGUUCUAACGUGGACCCGUGAUCCGGGUUGCGGACAGUGUCUGGUGGGUAGUUUGACUGGGGCGGUCUCCUCCUAAAGAGUAACGGAGGAGCACGAAGGUUGGCUAAUCCUGGUCGGACAUCAGGAGGUUAGUGCAAUGGCAUAAGCCAGCUUGACUGCGAGCGUGACGGCGCGAGCAGGUGCGAAAGCAGGUCAUAGUGAUCCGGUGGUUCUGAAUGGAAGGGCCAUCGCUCAACGGAUAAAAGGUACUCCGGGGAUAACAGGCUGAUACCGCCCAAGAGUUCAUAUCGACGGCGGUGUUUGGCACCUCGAUGUCGGCUCAUCACAUCCUGGGGCUGAAGUAGGUCCCAAGGGUAUGGCUGUUCGCCAUUUAAAGUGGUACGCGAGCUGGGUUUAGAACGUCGUGAGACAGUUCGGUCCCUAUCUGCCGUGGGCGCUGGAGAACUGAGGGGGGCUGCUCCUAGUACGAGAGGACCGGAGUGGACGCAUCACUGGUGUUCGGGUUGUCAUGCCAAUGGCACUGCCCGGUAGCUAAAUGCGGAAGAGAUAAGUGCUGAAAGCAUCUAAGCACGAAACUUGCCCCGAGAUGAGUUCUCCCUGAGACUUAGAGUCUCCUGAAGGAACGUUGAAGACGACGACGUUGAUAGGCCGGGUGUGUAAGCGCAGCGAUGCGUUGAGCUAACCGGUACUAAUGAACCGUGAGGCUUAACCUUACAAC
rnacentral:rRNA from 1 species